UUUUUUUUAAAGAGAGAGAAUUUUUUUUUUAAUAUUUAUUUUUUAGUUAUCGGCGGACACAACAUCUUUGUUUGUAUGUGGUGCUGAGGAUUGAACCCGGGCCGCACGCAUGCCAGGCGAGCGCGCUACCGCUUGAGCCACAUCCCCAGCCCCUGUACUUGAUCUUUGUAGAGUGAUUCCUUUGUGUGAGUCAUCUUUGGAGACAAAUAAGAUAGGCUCUCUGCCUUGAGGAUUUCAUUGAAAUGUAAGAUUUACUGAUAAGGAGGCAUAAAUGGGAUUAUAUAGGAUUGGCUACCAAUGAAUGGUCUAUGCAAGUGUUAAAUCAUACAGGGGAGCUGGGUGCGCCACACUUGUAAUCCCAGCAGUUUGGGAGGCUGAGACAGGAGGAUUGCAAGUUUAAAGCCAGCCUUAGCAAAAACAAGGCUCUAAGUAACUCAGUGAGACCCUGUCUCUAAAUAAAAUACAAAAUAGGGCUGGGGAUGUGACUCAGUGGUCGAGUGCCCCUGAGUUCAAUCCCCCCCCAAAAAAUGUAAAUCACACAGGGGGAAGAAUGGAGGUGAUGUGCAGUUGCCCCCCACCCCCAGGAGUUUGGAAGGAGGUAGGUAUCCAGUGUUAUGGAGGUCAGGUGGUCUUGGGAAACCAAGAUGUACAAGGAUGGAACAUCAAGGAAGCUGCUUUCUUUGGACACAGCAGGCAACUUUUGUGGGCAGGGGUGGCUUUUACAAAUAGCCUAAGAAAGGCCAUGUUUGUAGGAUGUGCUGGAGAUGGAUGGCCUUUGACCAAGAGGCAGUGGCUAAUGUGGGCUGGAUAAGCUGUGGGUUCAAAGCGUUUGUCAGCCAGCCCCUUUUGGGGCAGCAGGCCUUCAGUGGCCAAGGGCUUUUGUCAGAUUUUUUUCUGACCCCACCCAAGGACUAAUUGCAGCUGGAAUCUACAUGUCUGUUGGUGGCACAUGGAAGGACCCAGUCUUUGGUAUGUAGAAUGCAAGCACGGAGCAUAGCCUUUUCUUCAGGAUGGAAAAGUGAGGCUAGGGAGGCACUGCCACAAGAGCAAAGGCAACAGUGGAUUUUAGCUAGGACAAGUGAGAGACUGGGUCAGCCCUCGAUCCCUUAGCUUUCCGAUUAAAUAAUCAUCUCACCCCUGGCAUCCUAUUGGUGGUCUCGCUCACCAUUCUAUACUUAUUAUCAGAUCUAGUCCCCUCCUUGAUUCUAUCUCUCAGGGUCAAUUACCUUAUUUACAGGAUCGAGAAUUUGACUUUUCUUGGGGCUGGGGUUGUGACUCAGCGGUAGAGAGCUUGCCUAGCACAUGUGAGGCACUGGGUUCUAUUCUCAGCACCACAUAAAAAUAAAAAUUAUUGUGUCCACUUAUAAUUAAAACAAAUAUAUAUAUUUUUUAAUUUUGGCUUUUCUGGUAUUUGAGGGGCCACAAUGAUAAAAUAUUCAGAAUAUCAGGUACAGGGGUGAAUACCUCUAAUACCAGCGACUUGGGAUGCUGGGGGAGGAGGAUUGCAAGUUUGAGGCCAACCUGGGCAAGUCAGCAAGACACUGUUUCAAAAACUGUGCGUGUUGGGUGGAGAGGGGUGUGUUGGGGUAAAGCUCAGUGGUAACAUGCCCUUGGUUUAAUUCCCAGGACUAAUAUGAAUUUUCCACCUGAACAAAAAGUAUCCACUGAAAG
rnacentral:lncRNA from 1 species